GGAGAAGCUGGAACUUUACCAGGCUUUUCCCACUUGCCUUGGGAUUUUCUGCCCAUCUUCCCAGGAACACCCGGCAGGCCCCAUGAAUGGACCUUGGGCCAAAAUGAUGUUUAAGAAGGGGACGGACCAUUUAGAUGACAAAUGGGCUUCAGGGCGCUGUCAGAACUUCCAGGCGGCGGGGACUAUUAACGGUCACAUGGAGGCCGCCGCAUCUGUGAUGGCAGAGCGGAUGCUGAAAUUGGUCACACAGCCUCGAGUCCCAAGGCCCGGACAGAUGUGUUCUAUACACUUGUUUAAACACGGCGCUCAUUAGGAGCUGCUUCCUCUGGGCUUUGUGGUUGCCCAUUUGCCGCCUUCUCAUCCGAUCGCGUUACCCUUAAUAACCAUCGCCCUGGCAGGAGAGGGGUGCCGAAUUCCGUCUCCUGCGUGCCUGCGUGUGUAAUGUGCCGAGCAAGUGAUCCUAAUGAUGCAUUCAGCACACCACUCCCCAAAGACCCGGCUUCCAGCUUAUCCAAAUCCAUUUAUAUUCCCGCUCGGACCUUUGGGAUCAAAAUUCCUGACCCUUUUGUAAAAAGCAAAAACACCGUUUGAAAAAAACAGAAGAGGGAGGUGAAAUUCCCCAAGCUUUCAUUUCCCUUCAUGGUUGAACUUCGAUGACUCAAGUCAUUUGCAGUCAAUCUAUUUCGCUGACUUGUCCUGCUGACUGCCAGGAGGUCAACAUUUCUGACUUUGCCCCUCCAGGGGCAGCAUGUGGUCCCAGCUGGUUGUGCUGUGCUGUGGUGGGAAUGGGGGCUGGGGGAGGUGGCUGUGUCAUCUGGAAGCUACGUUGGGGGCUCUCUUCUUUUGCACUGGAGCUUCACAUUCUGCAAAGAUGAUACUUCCAGGAUAGUGCUUUUGUUUGCUGUUUGUGUUGGGUGGGAUUAGCUCUGAUUACAUAUUAAUAACCUAGAGCACUAUCUAGUAAUUAGAUGUUAUCUUCCAGAUGUUUAAAAGAAACCUUUAAUAUUUUAAGCUGCUUGGAGUUCUCUUGGCACUUUAUUAAAAUGGAUGGAAUUUAAAA
rnacentral:lncRNA from 1 species